AGAAUGUCGGUGUCUGUGAGUAAACUCUGGGAUACAGAAUAGGACAUUCCAGGCUUGGAAAUCCUUUGAAACAAAUAUCACUGAACAUAUCAAAGAGCUCUCAGGAGCCUGAGCACCAGGCCAGGAUGGCAUAGAAGAAUUGGGUAUGCAGGCUCCUCUUAAUGUGAUUUCGCCUGCAAUGAUAUCUCUGGCUGACAAAUAACUGACAUGGUAUCUAGCGCAAAUGAAGAGCCGUGUGAUGCUGAGACUAUCAAUCUAUCCCAUUUUCGGCUUCCUUUCUCCACAUCCCUGAUGUGCCCAGAGCAGCUCAUGAAGCCCCUUCCAGCACCAUGUGGGCUGGCCACCAGGAGGAAGCCCCAGCUUAGUCCCAGCUUGAUUUCUCUGUAUCCUACAAGUAUGUGUGAUGUCCUCAGCAACACAAUCUUACUCCCGAGUUCUGUUGAGCAACCAACAACAGUAAAAGUCGCAUGUAUUUGGAGACCAAAAAGAGCCACCCUGACGAACAACUCAUAGACAUCCCAUGUUGUUACCCACUACCGUACAACUGCU